AAUCUUCCGCAAUGGACGAAAGUCUGACGGAGCGAUUACGCGUGAGUGAUGAAGGUCUNCGGAUCNUNAAACUCUGUUGUUAGGGNAGAAAAAGUAUCGUUCGAACAGGGCGGUACCAUGACGGUACCUUACCAGAAAGCCACGGCUAACUACGUUCCAGCAGACGCGGUAAUCAGUAGGUGUCAAGCGUUAUCCGGAAUUAUUGGGCGUCAACAGCGCGCAGGCGGUUUCUUAAGUCUGAUGUGAGAGCCCACAGCUCAACCGUGGAGGGUCAUUGGAAACAGGGAAGCUUGAGUGCAGAAGAGGAGAGUGGAAUUCCAUGUGUAGCGGUGAAAUGCGUAGAGAUAUGGAGGAACACCAGUGGCGAAGGCGACUCUCUGGUCUGCAACUGACGCUUAGGCGCGAAAGCGUGGGGAGCGAACA
rnacentral:rRNA from 1 species